GUUAGAUGUAAUAGGCUGGAGCUCAGGUGAAAGGUCAAGCUAGGGAUAUUCAUUUGGAACUGAUGAAUUUUGGUGUUUUAUAUUUAAGGUCACAAGACUGAAAGAGACCACCUGCAUUAUGGGUAUAAACAGAAAAGAGAAGGGGCUCCAUGAGUUAAAUUUUCUGACAUUGAGAUGCUGGGGAAAGGAAGAGGAGCAGCAAAGGAAACAGAGAAGGUGGUGGGAAAAUGAAACCAGAUGGCAACUAGGAGAUGUAGGAAAGAAUAAAGAGCCACUAAUAAGUGCUGGAGGUUGAAUUGUCCAAGACCAAGGUCCAGCAUGAUUGCGAGGAGCCCUGGCUCACAGAUUUCUUGUGUCCUUACGUGGUGGCAGGAGAUGGCUCAUGAUGGAGAAAGCCUGUCAUCAUGUCACGAUGGUAUGGAAACAGCUCAUGGAGAGGGACAUGGAAGCUCCUUCCAAAAACUGGCACCAGGUGUAUUCAGUGAUCACACUGUGUCAGAUAUCUUCCAACUAGUCACUGGCCUGCAACAAAGCUGGAAUGAGGUCUCAGAGAUGAGAUUUUCCUGUGCUAAUGACACUCCUGAGAUGUGGUAAGGAAAAUAGUGUCUUUUUAUAUGUAAGGGCAGUUUUCACAGCAACAUGUUACUGUUUUUUAUUUCAUCCAGUCAUGUGACUUUACAGAUUACAUUAACUAAACUCACAUUACAUAUACUGAUAAUGUAAACACUACUGAGGUAUAAAGCCUUGAUUGAAAUGGUUGAUUCAUAUAAAUUCUAAAAUAGUCUCUUUUUAGGGUAUGUGAUGAGGUUAAAGUAAUAAAAUAUUAAAUAUAAUAAGAAAUCUGUUUAAAACUUCAAAAUUAUCAAGAUUGUUUAGCAGUCUUUGAAUAAUGACACUUCUCUAGAGUGCUGAUGACAAUAUGAAGGCAUCAUGAUUAGGGACAUUUUCAAAAACUAAGCAUGAAGAAUACAAAAACUUUACUACUUAUUUCAUUUAGGACAUUGAAACUCAGCAUGAAAAAUUGUUUUAGAAUGUUUUCACUAAACUUGAUGAUAAAUGGUCAAUGGAUGAUUUUGGAGUUUCUACUUAGUAGCAAAAGUUAAACCAUCAAGUACAUUAGAGAAAGGGCACUAUGAUACAAUUGCUUACCUUGGUCAGGAUCUAGUAUUGGAAAAUAAAAAUUCUUGUAAUUAAAAAAGUACUGAAUGUAUAUGAGAAUAAUGUAUUAAACAAUGUACUCAUUUUGGAAGUUUUGAUAUACAGUGGCUUAAAAACAGAUGUUCAAAACCAAUCUCAGAUUGUUUCACACAGAUGGUUUUAGGGAUGAAACAUUGUUUUUCAUAGGAUGCUAAAAUACCAGGGAUUAUCUUAUUGACUACAAAUGUUUUCCUUCAUAACAAAAUAUUUUAAGGUGUUGGAUCUGUUUUCUGUGUGAUUUUUAAGAGAAUUCUAAUGUAAGUUUCCAGCUAGAACUAUACACCUAAAUAUAUUGCUUACAUCACUCAAACAAAAACACAGGGAAAUGCAAAGUGGACAAAAUACAGUGGAGUAUCAUCAAUGUGGUUUUUUAAAAACAAUCUUUAAUAGUGAUAUCUUUAAACACUACAUAGUGACAUGGGUAAUGGCUUUGCAACUUUUAUCUUAAAAAAGGUUACCUAAAUAUUAGAGUGAAAAACACAAAAAUGACAUGGUUAGAGGUACAUUGAACAUUGUCUUUUCACCAGGCUAGGUGUUCUACAUGAGUCGACAUUUUCUCUGAUCUAGUUGUCAGUCAUGUGUUAUCUAUCAGUUCUAAAUUUAAAAAGAUUUUUUUUUCCUUCACAACCCAGCUGUCUUUUAAUAGAACUUCUGGAAGAGGAAAUACAUUUGUGUGCUUCAAAAUGCAAGAAUAAAAAAGAGUGAAUAGCCCGCUUUCUCUAGCCAGUUUCUUACGUAUUCUUCCAGACUUUAUGAUUAUAUAAGAAAAUAAAAAUACAUAUUCUUAUCUCCUCCCUUCUUUUCACAUAGAAUGUAGCAUCUUAUACAUACUAGUCUUGGAGGUCUUUCCAUUGCAAUAUAUAUAAUACAUCAUCAUUCUUAUUUUUAAAAUAGUUGAUAUUCUUUACAUGGAUUUGCCACAGUUCAUUUACAAACCCCCCAUUGGUGAAUAUUUGUGGUAGACUAUGUCAGUUUUUACCAAUAUCCAUUUCCUGACCUUUGAGAUUGCACUUCUCUAUCCCUGUUUGGCCUUAUGUCUUGUUUUGACCAAAGAAAUAUGAAUGGCAGUGACAUGUCACUUAUGGUACAAACUUUAAGGGAUGGUGAAUAUUUUGCCAUGUUUUCUCUUCCUCUUACCAUCUCUCUCCUCCUUCUUAACCAAUGAAACCAUCACAAUUAUUUGCUCAACCUGAAAAAAACGUACCCCUUCCAUGUAUACUCUAGAAGGAGUACAGUAAUUAGAAUUCAUGCUAAACAUCUUGUGUGAAUGAGAAACACACUUUUAUUGCUAAAAUCCACAGAGGAUUUGUUUUUAUUUGUUACCACAGCAUUACCUUGACAAUCACGGUUGAUGCGAAAAAUGGUGCCAGAAUCUGUGUGUGUGCUACCCUCAUAUAGAUCUAUGUGUCAUUGACAUCAUGGUUGGGAAAUAAAUGGCAAGAGCAAUUUUUUUUUUUAAAGCUGGAAGGAUGGAGGUCUACAUUGUGCUGUGGAAAAACAGUGAUAAAACUGUAAUGUGCAAUAACUUGGCAUCAGUAACAUCCCUUAUAAUUUUGUGUGAACGUUGGAAAACAAUAUUAGUCAUGUGAGUUGUCUACUGUUAACUAUACCUGAAGAAAAAGAAGAAGGAAUAAGCCCUACUGAAAUUGCCAACUUGAAAGGAAAAAUGAAAAGGAAGAGAGAGGGUCCUGAAAAUUAGGACUUGAGGAUUCCAAGAGGAAAUUGUGUCUUGAUUUCUAACAGUAAAAAGUAAAAUUAAGAGGAAAAGUCUGUGAAAUCUGCCUUGUAGCAAAGAUCAUAUAAAACAUAUGGACUAUAAAAGAAUAGCUAAAACAUCUGAACAGGUUGUGUGGCCAGCAGUACAUUCUUUUUGCUGGAAAGAUGGUUUCAUGAAAAAGACUAAGAAUGUUAUUUUCUUUAAAACUCUAUUAACUCAAGACAUCAAAUUAAGUGUACAUAAAGAGGUGUGUCUUGAGAAGAAUUGUGAGUGUGGCUGUUUGUACAUAAUGCCGAUUGAAAUCAAAUAAAUGAGGUCAAUAAACUAUUUGAGAGAGUUAUACUGUUAAGAGAAAUACUAAUUUGUACUAAAUAGACUAUUGUGCCUGUAACUCUGUUGGCAGAAAAUGGGCUGAAAAAGCUUUUCCACCACUUAAAAAGUUAUGGUGUCACAUUUCUUCAGCUGUAGCCUCGGAAGGGUGUACUCAAGUACCAUCGAUACUGAGGACUGGGAAUUGCCCUUAGGAAGACAAAGCAGAGGUUUGUUCUCCACUUUCAGGACAAAAGCUCAUUUCUGUACAUGGACAGCAUGAAGUGGCUGUGCUAAAUGAGAGUAAUUGCUGUGCUUCUCCGUGUUUCUCCAUCUGCAUGGAAGUAUUCUUGUUUCACUACUGUGUGUCUGCUAGACAGUGUUCAUCUGUGCAAGGUGAAUGCAUGGAAUGACAAGACCUAGGGCUUGAAGAUCGAAGAAGUAAAUGGAUGGGGUGUUUGGGUAGUUUCCCUUGGGAGGAGGUGAGUGUGUAAAUGAGAAAGGGAGAGAACCAGAGUUUUACUGAUUUGAAAAGAAAACUCUGGUCAAUCCUACUACAGUUCUCCAAUAUUCACUUUCCUACUAUGGAAGAGAAUUAUGGUCAAAUUCCUUCUCUCAUUAUGGGCAAAAUUGGCCACACACCUUGCUUUUGCCAAAGGAAAAAAUGUAAAUUGAAUUGAGGCCGUCAGAAUUUCUAUAUCAUAUGGCAGACUUCGACAUUUUCUUUUCUCUUCCAUCACUACGGCCCUCCAUGCAAUCCAGACAGUUCCUGUUUCCUAUACAUUCUUUAAGCAGAAUCCAUAAAGACCCUCACUGAGCAUGUAGCAUGAGGAAUAACUAGAACUUUACUGUUUUAAACCAUAAAAAUCUUGGCAUGGUAUACUUCAGCCUGAUACACAAGUUUUCUCCAAACUUUUGCUCUAACAAGUACAAUUGCAGUGACUUAAAAACAUCUAAGGGGAAUUGAAGUUUAAAUUCUCAAAGUGGAAUUAUUAUCAAUUUACAUUUAUUUGCUAGGAGUUUAUGAGAUACUUGUUUAUUAACACUUGUCAAGAAAAUUUUGGUAAUGCAUUUAGCAUGGUCAAUCUGGAAAGUGAAAAUUUUGAAAAUGAGCAAAAAAGUUAAUGUUUGUGAGAGAAACUCAUCCU